GCACUGAUACAAUGUUUAACCAGCAGAGAGGGCUGGGGGUGAGGAAAUAUAAAAUCCUGUGAUCAUUAUGAAAUAACAAUUAAGAGCUCAAGAGCUGUACAUCUGUGCUUGCCUCUAUGGGUAGGAUGUGUGAACCAGCAGGUAUCCGAUGGCUCAAGACAAUUAAAUUGUGUUUGGAACAUGGUAAAUAUUUACAUUUCAGGACUCUCUUAAAGAGAUGUAAUGAUUUAAAAUCCAACUUUCCUCCUUUGGGGCAAAUUGUCUACACAGG